rnacentral:tRNA from 1 species
GCGCCGAUGGUGUAAGGUGAACAUCGCUGCCCGGAAAGCAGAAGAUGCGGGUUCGAGUCCCGCCUGGCGCA